UCGAAAUUGAGCCAAGCCUUGAUAAUGGUGGACCUAAUCAAGACAAAUAGUGCUAGUUCCUGUUACUCCGCGGUUUCAGCAACAGCUUCAGGUCCAACUUUAAGGCUCAAGGUUCUUGGAUCCAUUGCCGCUGUCACGCUUCCUGCAUAUUUGUUUAGGUCUCUGCGCUUUUUUUUGUCACCCUCCUCUUACCCACAUAUGUACUCGUAUCUGGGUUUGGGUUGUGCCUUGCUACGUUUGCCUUAGUUUAGCUCCAUAACUGUGUGUGUGUGUGUGUGUGUGUGUGUGUGUGUAUGCGUGUGUGUGUGUGUAGGCAUGAGUGUGUGCACGUGUGGGUGUGUGUAUGUUUUUUAUUGUCGCCAGCCAUGAUUUUCUUAUGGGAUACACACAUGUAAACUUUCAGCAUUGUCCGUCUGCCCGCCCAACAACUAACAAAAAUACAAAUACAAACACAAAUACAAACACAAAUACAAACACAAACACAAAUACAAAUAUAAAGACCAGCUAGCAAAGAACUAACCAACGUACCAGCCUUGGCCAACAACAUCUGCUUCAUUGUAUUGCAGUUAUUGUAUUUGAAUUGGACAACUAAUGUAAAUAAUACAUCACAUACUCUGGAACUGGAGUUCGAUCUGUACGUAUAUGGCAAAUGUAACAAAAGUGUCCAUCAAAUAUCACAUUGUUGUAUUAUUUCAAUUGAAUUAAGAGAGUUUUAUCUCAAGUGUUGACAUACGUACAAGAAAAGAGCAUCGCUUGGUUACGUUACGAAAAGUAUCGCAAAAUUAAUACCGAAUUGCAACAAUUGCAAACAAAUUUAAUUUAUGUCCCUUCAAGUCUCAAGAUUGUAUGGUUUCGAGCCCGAAUCAA